rnacentral:rRNA from 1 species
UGGGGAAUAUUGGACAAUGGGGGCAACCCUGAUCCAGCCAUGCCGCGUGAGUGAUGAAGGCCUUCGGGUUGUAAAGCUCUUUUGGCGGGGACGAUGAUGACGGUACCCGCAGAAUAAGCCCCGGCUAACUUCGUGCCAGCAGCCGCGGUAAGACGAAGGGGGGCUAGCGUUGUUCGGAAUUACUGGGCGUAAAGCGAGUGUAGGCGGUUGCCGUAGUCAGGUGUGAAAGCCUUGAGCUCAACUCAAGAAAUGCACUUGAUACUGGGUGACUAGAGGACCGGAGAGGGAUAGUGGAAUUCCCCAGUGUAGUGGUGAAAUACGUAGAGAUUGGGAAGAACACCAGUGGCGAAGGCGGCUAUCUGGACGGUUACU